rnacentral:rRNA from 1 species
CAGUCGCCACGGGAAUACGAGGGGGGCAAGCGUUGUUCGGAUUUACUGGGCGUAAAGGGCUCGCAGGCGGUUUCUUAAGUCUGAUGUGAAGGCCCCCGGCUCAACCGGGGAGGGUCAUUGGAAACUGGGAAACUUGAGUGCAGAAGAGGAGAGUGGAAUUCCACGUGUAGCGAUGAAAUGCGUAGAGAUGUGGAGGAACACCAGUGGCGAAGGCGACUCUCUGGUCUGUAACUGACGCUGAGGAGCGAAAGCGUGGGGAGCAAAUGGGAUUAGAUACCCCCGUAGUCCCUGUCUCUUAUAC